GACGAACGCUGGCGGCGUGCUUAACACAUGCAAGUUGAACGGAAAGGCCCUGCUUUUGUGGGGUGCUCGAGUGGCGAACGGGUGAGUAACACGUGAGUAACCUGCCCUUGACUUUGGGAUAACUUCAGGAAACUGGGGCUAAUACCGGAUAGGAGCUCCUGCUGCAUGGUGGGGGUUGGAAAGUUUCGGCGGUUGGGGAUGGACUCGCGGCUUAUCAGCUUGUUGGUGGGGUAGUGGCUUACCAAGGCUUUGACGGGUAGCCGGCCUGAGAGGGUGACCGGCCACAUUGGGACUGAGAUACGGCCCAGACUCCUACGGGAGGCAGCAGUGGGGAAUAUUGCACAAUGGGCGGAAGCCUGAUGCAGCAACGCCGCGUGCGGGAUGACGGCCUUCGGGUUGUAAACCGCUUUCGCCUGUGACGAAGCGUGAGUGACGGUAAUGGGUAAAGAAGCACCGGCUAACUGCGUG
rnacentral:rRNA from 1 species